rnacentral:rRNA from 1 species
GACGAACGCUGGCGGCGUGCUUAACACAUGCAAGUCGAACGGAAAGGCCCUGCUUUUGUGGGGUGCUCGAGUGGCGAACGGGUGAGUAACACGUGAGUAACCUGCCCUUGACUUUGGGAUAACUUCAGGAAACUGGGGCUAAUACCGGAUAGGAGCUCCUGCUGCAUGGUGGGGGUUGGAAAGUUUCGGCGGUUGGGGAUGGACUCGCGGCUUAUCAGCUUGUUGGUGGGGUAGGGGCUUACCAAGGCUUUGACGGGUAGCCGGCCUGAGAGGGUGACCGGCGACAAUGGGACUGCGAGAGGGCGCAGACGCGUACGGGAGGCAGCAGUCGGGAGUAUUGCACAGUGGGCGGAAGCCAGAGGCAGCAACGCCGCGUGCGGGAUGACGGCCUACGGGUGGUAAACCGCUUUCGCCUGUGACGAAGCGUGAGUGACGGUAACGGGUAAAGAAGCACCGGCUAACUACGUG